UUUAUAAAACUCAGAGUCAGAAAGAACUUUUGACGGUAAUAAUCGAACCGAUAGAUCUAGAUUGUUCUCUUCUGCAUGCUUGAUUGUCGAAAGUAUUAAUGGAUGAUGUUGAAGGAUUGUAUCAGAAUUUUGAUAUUCACGGCAAAAGAAGGUAAACGAACGUUCAAAAUCAGCAAACUUCUGGCAUGUAAGUUCCAAUUCUUUUCCUUUUGAUGGUGAAUUUAAAUCAAUCGUUGAACGAUCGUCCACAGAUUCCAUAGCCAAAUAAGCAGUAAAAUAACAACU